rnacentral:lncRNA from 1 species
CAGUGUAGGGAUAUUGGGAUGAAAGUAUAGAUGGUUGUUAGAGAAUAACUUGUACUGAGCAUGACCAACGUAAGAAAUCACUUGGAUGUCUACUCACUCAUCAGUGAUUAUCUCGAUGCUGUAGUGAUGUGAGUGGUCCUAUGAUUGUGGUGUCAUUGGCUAUUCAUAGUAAAGCUACUGAGUUUGACUGCAUAUUUUUUAGGUCCUUAGCAAU